GAAAUGCGAUAAGUAAUGUGAAUUGCAGAAUUCAGUGAAUCAUCGAAUCUUUGAACGCACCUUGCGCUCCUUGGUAUUCCUUGGAGCAUGCCUGUUUGAGUAUCAUGAAAUCUUCAAAGUAAAUCUUUUGUUAACUCAAUUGGCUUCUACUUUGGUAUUGGAGGUCUUUGCAGCUUCACACCUGCUCCUCUUUGUUCAUUAGCUGGAUCUCAGUGUUAUGCUUGGUUCCACUCGGCGUGAUAAGUUAUCUAUCGCUGAGGACACUGUAAAAGGUGGCCAAGGUAAAUGCAGAUGAACCGCUUCUAAUAGUCCAUUGACUUGGACAAUACUUUUAUGAUCUGAUCUCAAAUCAGGUAGGACUACCCGCUGAACUUAAGA
rnacentral:misc_RNA from 1 species